UACGUAGGGGGCAAGCGUUGUCCGGAAUCAUUGGGCGUAAAGAGCGCGUAGGCGGCCCUGUAAGUCCGCUGUGAAAGUCAAGGGCUCAACCCUUGAAUGCCGGUGGAUACUGCAGGGCUAGAGUCCGGAAGAGGCGAGUGGAAUUCCUGGUGUAGCGGUGAAAUGCGCAGAUAUCAGGAGGAACACCCAGGGGGAAACCAGUCGACUGGGCAGCACCUGACGCUGAGGUGCGAGAGCGUGGGGAGCGAGCCGG
rnacentral:rRNA from 1 species